ensembl:lncRNA
GGAUGACAGCUGGGCAGUUCUGUCUCACAGUAAAGACAUCGGAUCAAGAGCCACCGAACAGAACCCUGAGUAAACUCUCAGAACAGCCAGACGGGAGAGAAGCCCAGAGGUACACCGUCGCCCAUCGAACCGUCAUCAGGCUGUACAGGAAUCUGCAGUCAUGCAGCAAUAUAAAGGAGUAUAAAGGUCACGAUCACAGAGCAGAUUGUUGCAUGUAUCGGGACAGUUCAGGAGUGUGCAGCCAUUACAGGUUCACUUCAGCGUCUCAGAGCGGUGAGGAACCUCUCCACAGGGAACAGACUUUAGAAAUCGCAGAAGGUGUCUCUCGCUCAGAGAAACAGGUGCCCAUCGCUGAAGUCCAGACAUUUUCUCGAGGCCGGAGCGAUAGUGAAAGUCAUGACGAUAACCUGCCCAGAACACAUCGCCUCCUUUUCUUCAUCAUCAUCCUCAUCCUUCUCCUCCUCACGCUCUUGGUUUUAAUCCCCUACAUGCAAUACGAACAGACGUCACCGUGCUUUUAGAGAUAUUCAGCACACUGUAAUAUCUUACACGUAUACACGUGGCGUUCCCAGCACACUCUUCUGAGACAACAAUCAUUAAACCUGUAAACCUCUGC